UACGUAGGGGGCAAGCGUUGUCCGGAAUCAUUGGGCGUAAAGAGCGCGUAGGCGGCCCUGUAAGUCCGCUGUGAAAGUCAAGGGCUCAACCCUUGAAUGCCGCUGGAAACUGUCUGGCUAGAGUCCGGGAGGGGCGAGUGGAAUUCCUGGUGUAGCGGUGAAAUGCGCAGAUAUCAGGAGGAACACCAAUGGCGAAGGCAGCUCGCUGGAACGGAACUGACGCUGAGGCGCGAAAGCGUGGGGAGCGAACAGG
rnacentral:rRNA from 1 species